GGCGAGAGUAGAAGCGUUCACCAGCGGCCGAUUUCGUCGGCUGUCCUGGCCGGGAAUUGCUCUUGAG
rnacentral:ncRNA from 1 species